rnacentral:rRNA from 1 species
CAGUGGCGAACGGGUGAGUAACACGUGAGUAACCUGCCCCAGACUCUGGGAUAACCCCGGGAAACCGAGGCUAAUACCGGAUAUGACACAGACAGGCAUCUGUACUGUGUGGAAAGUUUUUCGGUCUGGGAUGGACUCGCGGCCUAUCAGCUUGUUGGUGAGGUAACGGCUCACCAAGGCGACGACGGGUAGCCGGCCUGAGAGGGCGACCGGCCAAACUGGGACUGAGACACGGCCCAGACUCCUACGGGAGGCAGCAGUGGGGAAUAUUGCGCAAUGGGCGAAAGCCUGACGCAGCGACGCCGCGUGAGGGAUGAAGGCCUUCGGGUUGUAAACCUCUUUCAGCAGGGAAGAAGCGCAAGUGACGGUACCUGCAGAAGAAGCACCGGCUAACUACGUGCCAGCAGCCGCGGUAAUACGUAGGGUGCAAGCGUUGUCCGGAAUUAUUGGGCGUAAAGAGCUCGUAGGCGGUCUGUCGCGUCUGGUGUGAAAAUCCAGGGCUUAACCCUGGACCUGCAUCGGGUACGGGCAGACUAGAGUGCGGUAGGGGAGAUCGGAAUUCCUGGUGUAGCGGUGAAAUGCGCAGAUAUCAGGAGGAACACCGGUGGCGAAGGCGGAUCUCUGGGCCGUAACUGACGCUG